rnacentral:rRNA from 1 species
CCUACGGGUGGCAGCAGUGGGGAAUAUUGCGCAAUGGGCGAAAGCCUGACGCAGCGACGCCGCGUGAGGGAUGAAGGUCUUCGGAUCGUAAACCUCUGUCAGCAGGGAAGAACGGUCACGGUGCUAAUCAGCAGUGAAUGGACGGUACCGGCAAAGGAAGAACCGGCUAACUCCGUGCCAGCAGCCGCGGUAAUACGGCGGGUGCGAGCGUUAAUCGGAAUUACUGGGCGUAAAGCGCUCGUAGGCGGUAUGUCAAGUCAAGGGUGAAAUCCCCGCGCUCAACGUGGGAACUGCCUUUGAAACUGGCAAACUGGAGUGUGUGAGACGCUAGUGGAAUUCCAGGUGUAGGCGU